CUACGGGUUGCAGCAGUGGGGAAUAUUGCACAAUGGGCGCAAGCCUGAUGCAGCCAUGCCGCGUGUAUGAAGAAGGCCUUCGGGUUGUAAAGUACUUUCAGCGGGGAGGAAGGGAGUAAAGUUAAUACCUUUUCUCAUUGACGUUACCCGCAGAAGAAGCACCGGCUAACUCCGUGCCAGCAGCCGCGGUAAUACGGAGGGUGCAAGCGUUAAUCGGAAUUACUGGGCGUAAAGCGCCCGCAGGCGGUUUGUUAAGUCAGAUGUGAAAUCCCCGGGCUCAACCUGGGAACUGCAUCUGAUACUGGCAAGCUUGAGUCUCGUAGAGGGGGGUAGAAUUCCAGGUGUAGCGGUGAAAUGCGUAGAGAUCUGGAGGAACACCGGUGGCGAAGGCGGCCCCCUGGACGAAGACUGACGCUCAGGUGCGAAAGCGUGGGGAGCAAACAGGAUUAGAUACCCGCGUAGUC
rnacentral:rRNA from 1 species